UAAGGUAGCUUGUACUCUGCAACUCUCACAUGGUCGCCCACUGAAGCUAAGCAGGGCUGCGCCCGGUCAGUACCUGGAUGGGAGACCACUUGGGAAAGCUGGGUUGCUGCCGGAA
ensembl:rRNA 5S_rRNA 5S ribosomal RNA